AUGCAAGUCGAGCGGCAGCGGGGGGAAGCUUGCUUCCCCGCCGGCGAGCGGCGGACGGGUGAGUAAUGUCUGGGGAUCUGCCUGAUGGAGGGGGAUAACUACUGGAAACGGUAGCUAAUACCGCAUAACGUCGCAAGACCAAAGUGGGGGACCUUCGGGCCUCACGCCAUCGGAUGAACCCAGAUGGGAUUAGCUAGUAGGUGAGGUAACGGCUCACCUAGGCGACGAUCCCUAGCUGGUCUGAGAGGAUGACCAGCCACACUGGAACUGAGACACGGUCCAGACUCCUACGGGAGGCAGCAGUGGGGAAUAUUGCACAAUGGGGGAAACCCUGAUGCAGCCAUGCCGCGUGUGUGAAGAAGGCCUUCGGGUUGUAAAGCACUUUCAGCGGGGAGGAAGGGGACAAGGUUAAUAACCUUGUUCAUUGACGUUACCCGCAGAAGAAGCACCGGCUAACUCCGUGCCAGCAGCCGCGGUAAUACGGAGGGUGCAAGCGUUAAUCGGAAUGACUGGGCGUAAAGCGCACGCAGGCGGUCUGUUAAGUUGGAUGUGAAAUCCCCGGGCUUAACCUGGGAACUGCAUUCAAAACUGACAGGCUAGAGUCUCGUAGAGGGGGGUAGAAUUCCAGGUGUAGCGGUGAAAUGCGUAGAGAUCUGGAGGAAUACCGGUGGCGAAGGCGGCCCCCUGGACGAAGACUGACGCUCAGGUGCGAAAGCGUGGGGAGCAAACAGGAUUAGAUACCCUGGUAGUCCACGCUGUAAACGAUGUCGAUUUGGAGGUUGUGCCCUUGAGGCGUGGCUUCCGGAGCUAACGCGUUAAAUCGACCGCCUGGGGAGUACGGCCGCAAGGUUAAAACUCAAAUGAAUUGACGGGGGCCCGCACAAGCGGUGGAGCAUGUGGUUUAAUUCGAUGCAACGCGAAGAACCUUACCUACUCUUGACAUCCAGCGAACCCUGUAGAGAUACGGGGGUGCCUUCGGGAACGCUGAGACAGGUGCUGCAUGGCUGUCGUCAGCUCGUGUUGUGAAAUGUUGGGUUAAGUCCCGCAACGAGCGCAACCCUUAUCCUCUGUUGCCAGCACUUCGGGUGGGAACUCAGGGGAGACUGCCGGUGAUAAACCGGAGGAAGGUGGGGAUGACGUCAAGUCAUCAUGGCCCUUACGAGUAGGGCUACACACGUGCUACAAUGGCGCAUACAAAGAGAAGCGACCUCGCGAGAGCAAGCGGACCUCAUAAAGUGCGUCGUAGUCCGGAUUGGAGUCUGCAACUCGACUCCAUGAAGUCGGAAUCGCUAGUAAUCGUAGAUCAGAAUGCUACGGUGAAUACGUUCCCGGGCCUUGUACACACCGCCCGUCACACCAUGGGAGUGGGUUGCAAAAGAAGUAGGUAGCUUAACCUUCGGGAGGGCGCUUACCACUUUGUGAUUCAUGACUGGGGUGAAGUCGUAACAAGGUAACCGUAGGGGAACCUGCGGUUGGAUCACCUCCUUACCGAG
rnacentral:rRNA from 1 species